UACACAAGGUCAGCUACAGUUUACCCAAUU
rnacentral:piRNA from 1 species